UUUGUUUAUGAGUCAAAUAUAAACUCUGGAAUUUCCAACUUUCAUUUUUAGAUUUAAUUUGCGACGUUACAACUUCUUUGACGAUACACAUAAUAGAAAUCGUUCAUGAGGGAACAUCUGAUAAUUCAAAUGUGAUUUUUGCUUUAUAUACGUCGUCAUUGAUGGUACUGGCACUCCGAUAAUGCUUCUGAAGCUGGAGACGUUGUUCCUUUGGUUGGACAUUACCAAACCUAACUAUGUCUUGAACGCAAAUACUCCGCAAAUGCGCAGGGGUUUGUCAGAAAAAGAACAACAACAGCAAGUUAUUUUUAGAAUGUUGUCAAGGAUACAAGUUUAAUCAGAUUAACCAAACAUGUGAUGACUGUCCUGAAGGAAAAUACGGUUAUAAUUGUCAGGAUGACUGUUCAGAUAAUUUCUUUGGCUUACGCUGUAAACACAGAUGCAAUUGUAAGGAAAACGAAACAUGCAACAAAGUUCAUGGUUGCAGAAUUAUCGAGAACAUUGACGCAAGAAUACCUAUGAUUUUAGUUAAAGAGUCAUCCACCACUUUGAAAGAUGAAUUGACAGUACCAACAGAACAUAUGACUCAUACAUUGCAAGGUGAUGAUGGCGGAGACCCAGUCAACAGUAUAAUUAUUGCAGUGCUACUAGCUGUUUUGGUUAUCAUCGUUUUAGUUAUAGUAUGGAAGGAAAGAGAAAAAAUAUGUAGACGAAUAACAGAUUCGCAAAUGUCGUCAGUUCAUGAGAGGCACAAAAGACGGCAUGCAAACGAAGACGACGAAAAUGCUUACUCUGAAAUUAGAGAGUCGAAGAUGGUCAGACCAAUGACAGUUUACGGGAGAAAACUAUCACACUGUGACCUGGAUAACCAAUAUAACCAUUUGUCCCUUAAACAAACAAAUGGGAUAUCUCGCAUCAACAACUACCUAUAUAAUAUGCCGACAGAGUACACAGAACCAAUUGAUGGGAUUGGAAAUGAUUGCGAAAAGACAUCUGAAAAAAACAGAUCAGUCUGACAGACCAAAUGAAAGCUGACCAAUCUGAAUUACAUUAUCAAACUAAUUUUGGUAUACAAUCAAAUAGUUCUGCAUUGUGUUUCGUAAAGAAAGAAAAACAUUUACACGUGUUUUAUUAUAAUCUCGAUGUUUUAAAUAUUUAGAAAGUUUUGAAUAAAAAUGGAAAAACGUAUAACAAUGCCAGAGACUAUUCAAAAAUAUGAUGUACAUAAUACAAAUAACCCGAGAACAGUU